rnacentral:tRNA from 1 species
CCGCUUUUAGCUCAGUGGUCGAGCGUUGGCUUUAGAAGCCACAGGUCGGGGGUUCGAGCCCACCAGGGCACA